GUUUCCAGCCUGCUGGCCUGCUCUACAGAUUUCAGAUUGCCAACUCUUAAAAUUCCAAAAUCAUUUAUGCCAAUUCCUUGAAAAAAAAAGGUACCUUACUGCUCUGUUUUAAUGAGGAACCCUGACUGAUAGACUUUGCAAAGGAAUUGGCUCUAUCUUCAACAAAAACUAUGGAGUGGUUCCAGCCUAAGAGAACUCAAACAGAAAAAAACAAAGAAACGGUGGACUUAGCUGUGAAAGGCAGUUGGACUGCAUGCUGUGUAACUCACAUUCCUCUCAAGGCUCAGAGAGCUUGAAUGAAAGAUAAAAGGGCUUCCAAAGACCCAAUUG
rnacentral:lncRNA from 1 species